CCUACGGGGGGCAGCAGUGAGGAAUAUUGGUCAAUGGACGAGAGUCUGAACCAGCCAAGUAGCGUGAAGGAUGACUGCCCUAUGGGUUGUAAACUUCUUUUAUAUGGGAAUAAAAUGUUCCACGUGUGGGAUUUUGUAUGUACCAUAUGAAUAAGGAUCGGCUAACUCCGUGCCAGCAGCCGCGGUAAUACGGAGGAUCCGAGCGUUAUCCGGAUUUAUUGGGUUUAAAGGGAGCGUAGGUGGAUUGUUAAGUCAGUUGUGAAAGUUUGCGGCUCAACCGUAAAAUUGCAGUUGAAACUGGCAGUCUUGAGGACAGUAGAGGUGGGCGGAAUUCGUGGUGUAGCGGUGAAAUGCUUAGAUAUCACGAAGAACCCCGAUUGCGAAGGCAGUUCACUGGACUGCAACUGACACUGAGGCUCGAAAGUGUGGGUAUCAAACAGGAUUAGAUACCCUAGUAGUC
rnacentral:rRNA from 1 species